GGAUGUCUGGUCGAUCAAGAACAGGAGAGGGCGACCUCCCUCAUCCUCAAAACCCUAAAAUUCACUAAACCCACAAAUUGAAGGCUCAAUCCAAGUUGAAAUCAAAAUCUGAACAUGGAAUCGUGAUCACCUCGUCAAAAGGAGUCAUAAGUUUGACGCUAAACGAGCUAGGUGGAAGCUUGAGGACGAAGCGGGUCAAACAAAUCAAUAAGGAAAAGUAAGGCAUAGUUUGGAUGCGAGGAUAAAUCGGCCUAUGAAUUAGCGAUGCUAUGAAUUAGCGAUUAUUGAGACAAGGUAUUAAAACGGGUCAAUAUGUUGAUCCGAACCAGGUGAAUGUUAUAUGCUUCCGCAUGAAGAUCAAGCCAC